rnacentral:rRNA from 1 species
AUACGUAGGGUCCAAGCGUUAUCCGGAUUUACUGGGUGUAAAGGGCGAGUAGACGGCGCUGUAAGUCAGCUGUGAAAACUUAGGGCUCAACCUUAAGCCUGCAGCUGAAACUGUGGUGCUAGAGUGCAGGAGAGGUAAGCGGAAUUCCUAGUGUAGCGGUGAAAUGCGUAGAUAUUAGGAGGAACACCAGUGGCGAAGGCGGCUUACUGGACUGUAACUGACGUUGAGGCGCGAAAGUGUGGGGAGC